rnacentral:rRNA from 1 species
UACAGAGGGUGCGAGCGUUGUUCGGAAUUAUUGGGCGUAAAGGGCGCGUAGGCGGCGCCACAAGUCACCUGUGAAAACUCUGGGCUCAACCCAGAGCCUGCAGGCGAAACUGUGGUGCUGGAGUAUGGGAGAGGUGCGUGGAAUUCCCGGUGUAGCGGUGAAAUUCGUAGAUAUUCGCAAGAACACCAGUGGCGAAGGCGGCUCACUGGCCCGGAACUGACGCUGAGAUGCGAAAGCGUGGGGAGCAAACAGG